rnacentral:sRNA from 1 species
ACCCGGCGGCGGGACAGGCUUGCUGCUUCCUCCUCCUCGGCCUCACCAUUCCAGACCAAAAUUGAAAAAAUGGUUGACCUCACCCAGGUAAUGGACGAUGAAGUAUUCAUGGCUUUUGCAUCCUAUGCAACAAUUAUUCUUUCAAAAAUGAUGCUUAUGAGUACCGCAACUGCAUUUUAUAGAUUGAGAAGAAAGGUUUUUGCCAAUCCAGAAGACUGUGUAACAUUUGGCAAAGGAGAAAAUGCCAAGAAGUAUCUUCGAACAGAUGACAGAGUAGAACGUGUACGCAGUAAUUGUAAAGCUGUUACGAUUAGCAUAUUUGAACGGCAGGGCCAGAAUGGGGGUACAAAUAAAGUGAAAAGUAUGCUUUACAGCGUGCAACAAUUGUGAAAAUUAAUACAUACACAUAUGGAACAAUUAACUAAAAACUUAAAAGCCCAUCUGAAUGACCUUGAAAAUAUCAUUCCAUUUCUUGGAAUUGGCCUCCUGUAUUCCUUGAGUGGUCCCGAUCCCUCUACAGCCAUCCUACACUUCAGACUAUUUGUCGGAGCACGGAUCUACCACACCAUUGCAUAUUUGACACCCCUUCCCCAGCCAAAUAGAGCUUUGAGUUUUUUUGUUGGAUAUGGAGUUACUCUUUCCAUGGCUUACAGGUUGCUGAAAAGUAAAUUGUACCUGUAAAGAAAAUCAUACAACUCAG